rnacentral:rRNA from 1 species
CGAGUCUUAACCGGGCGUUAAGUUGCAGGGUAUAGACCCGAAACCCGGUGAUCUAGCCAUGGGCAGGUUGAAGGUUGGGUAACACUAACUGGAGGACCGAACCGACUAAUGUUGAAAAAUUAGCGGAUGACCUGUGGCUGGGGGUGAAAGGCCAAUCAAACCGGGAGAUAGCUGGUUCUCCCCGAAAGCUAUUUAGGUAGCGCCUCGUGAAUUCAUCUCCGGGGGUAGAGCACUGUUUCGGCUAGGGGGCCAUCCCGGCUUACCAACCCGAUGCAAACUGCGAAUACCGGAGAAUGUUAUCACGGGAGACACACGGCGGGUGCUAACGUCCGUCGUGAAGAGGGAAACAACCCAGACCGCCAGCUAAGGUCCCAAAGUCAUGGUUAAGUGGGAAACGAUGUGGGAAGGCCCAGACAGCCAGGAUGUUGGCUUAGAAGCAGCCAUCAUUUAAAGAAAGCGUAAUAGCUCACUGGUCGAGUCGGCCUGCGCGGAAGAUGUAACGGGGCUAAACCAUGCACCGAAGCUGCGGCAGCGAACGUAUCACUUAAAGCGAUUCAGCGGGUUACGAUUGACGGAGCGAAGCGACGUCAAAGCGUAUACAAAGUCGAGUCGGUUUAAGGAUACGUUCGUUGGGUAGGGGAGCGUUCUGUAAGCCUGUGAAGGUGUGUCGUGAGGCAUGCUGGAGGUAUCAGAAGUGCGAAUGCUGACAUAAGUAACGAUAAAGCGGGUGAAAAGCCCGCUCGCCGGAAGACCAAGGGUUCCUGUCCAACGUUAAUCGGGGCAGGGUGAGUCGACCCCUAAGGCGAGGCCGAAAGGCGUAGUCGAUGGGAAACGGGUUAAUAUUCCCGUACUUGGUGUUACUGCGAAGGGGGGACGGAGAAGGCUAUGUUGGCCGGGCGACGGUUGUCCCGGUUUAAGCGUGUAGGUGUGUGUUCCAGGUAAAUCCGGUUCACUUUAACACUGAGGCGUGAUGACGAGGCACUACGGUGCUGAAGCAACAAAUGCCCUGCUUCCAGGAAAAGCCUCUAAGCAUCAGGUAACAUCAAAUCGUACCCCAAACCGACACAGGUGGUCAGGUAGAGAAUACCAAGGCGCUUGAGAGAACUCGGGUGAAGGAACUAGGCAAAAUGGUGCCGUAACUUCGGGAGAAGGCACGCUGACACGUAGGUGAAGUGAUUUACUCAUGGAGCUGAAGUCAGUCGAAGAUACCAGCUGGCUGCAACUGUUUAUUAAAAACACAGCACUGUGCAAACACGAAAGUGGACGUAUACGGUGUGACGCCUGCCCGGUGCCGGAAGGUUAAUUGAUGGGGUCAGCGCAAGCGAAGCUCCUGAUCGAAGCCCCGGUAAACGGCGGCCGUAACUAUAACGGUCCUAAGGUAGCGAAAUUCCUUGUCGGGUAAGUUCCGACCUGCACGAAUGGCGUAAUGAUGGCCAGGCUGUCUCCACCCGAGACUCAGUGAAAUUGAACUCGCUGUGAAGAUGCAGUGUACCCGCGGCAAGACGGAAAGACCCCGUGAAC